AAAGCUGUCACCGUAUUCUUCAAAGAAAUUCAGCAAAUAUUCCACACUACCUACAGUGAAAUAGCAUGGAUUUCAUCCAUUAUGCUGGCUGUUAUGUACGCAGGAGGCCAAAUGGAGGGAAACAAUCCAAGAAGAGGAGCACAUAGGAGGCACCAUAAGUGAAAGGGUGCAAUUGUCUAGCUCACACUAUUUAAAGCAAACAAUACUGUCAAACAGGUUGAAUCCAUUUGCAGACUCUAACCAAUUACUUGAGCAAUUCUUUCUCUCUAGCCCUAGAAUAGGUAAUGGGUAGGGUAGGGUUGUAUAACUGGAAGCUGUGUAAGCAGAGGCAACCUUAGUGUAAGAAGAAAAAGUGGAUCUUAUUUGUUUAAUAAUUGCAAAACUCUUUCCCAUAUAUUACUUCACUUGAUCCUCCAACACUGAUCCUACAACAAUCUGUGAAGCAGUCUAGAUACCAUUAAUCAUAAAAACAGAAUCAUAGGCCAGGCGCUGUGGCACACACCUGUAAUUCCAAUACUUUGGGAGGCCGAGGAGGGCAGAUCACCUGAGGUCAGGAGUUUGAGACCAGCCUGGCCAAUAUGAUGAAACCCCAUCUCUACUAAAAAUACAAAAAUUAGCUGGGCAUGGUGGUGGGUGCCUGUAAUCCCAGCUACUCGGAAGGCUGAGGCAGGAGAAUCGCAAGGGUUAAUCGAGGGAUUGGUAGAAGUGGAGAGGCGUGGGUCAAAGGAUACAAAAUUUUAGCUAGAUAGGAUAGGAUUUUAGCUACAAAUCUAUUAUAAAAAGUUAAAAUUUUAUCAGAACUUAUGUACAGGAACCCUUAUAGAUGCUACAGGCCACCAUCCACAGUGCAGAAAAAUGUAAACAAACAUAAGGACACGGUAUAAAAUCAAGCUGCCUGAAAUUAACUGUAAUACAUACUGUACUACUGUAAUAAUUUUGUAGCCAUCUCCUGUUGCUACUGUGCUGGGCUAAAGUGUUGUGUCAUGCCUAAAACGUGUGACACUUAUCUCUAUGUGAGCGGUUCUUUCCUCUAAUAAAUUAUCACAAUAAAAAAUGGGCUCUCAGAGUUCUUGCAUAUUUUGUAUCAUGUUUAGUGCAAUACCAUAAACCUUGAAUAACACCACGGGACCCAUACAAAGUUGAAUUGCUUGAUAUGUACCAUAGACUGAAGUCGGCUACUGUAGCUGCCUACCAUUUCAAGAUAAUUGAAUACAGCAAAAAUACUACUGUAAGAAAAUAAAAGGAAAUUUAUGAAAUUUUUGUUGCAGACUCUGCCAACAGGUGUGAAAACCUUACACUUUUUGCAAACUGCCUUUUUAUCUUGUAUUGAAAAUGCAGUUUUUAUGUAGGUUCAGGAUUGCUAUAAGACAUACCUAUAGAUAUGCACUUUAAUGUGAUUUGAGAACAAGCAAAUGACAACUUAAAGUAAAAGCUAAAUGAAAUAUCUAAAUCCAGAGUGUUUAGUACCAGCAAACUGUGGUUUGAUAAUUUUAAGAAGAGAUUUGGCUUUAAAAAAUGUCACAAUAACAGGAGAAGCAGCUUCUACUGACCAAAAAGCAGCAGAUGACUUCCAAGACAUCACUGAAAAAAUCAUUGAGAAGAAAUGACAUCUGCCUGAACAGGUUUUUAAUGCAGACAAAAGUACACUAGUCUGGGGAAAAAAUGCCACAAAGGAAAUUUAUUAGUAAGGAAGAGAAAUUAGCAUUGAGAAUUUAAGGUAGGAAGGGACAGGCUAACUGUACUGUUUUAAGCAAAUGCAAUUUAUGAUCAGGACUGCCCUUAUCUACAAAGCCAAUAACUCCUGAGUUUUGAAGGGACAAGAUCAACACCAGCUGCCAGUCUUUUUGCUGUACAACAGGAAGGCCUGGACAAUGAGAACCCUUUUUCUGUAUUGGUUUCAUUGAUGCUUUGUCCCUCAAUUCAGGAAGUACCUUGCCAGUAAGGGCUGCCAUACUGGCAGUUUUUUUGAUAUUGGAUAAUGACCUUGACCACCCAAAACCCCACGAAUUCAGUGCCAAAGGUGUCGAAGUGGUCUACUUGCCCCCAUACACAAAAUAUCUCAUUCAGCCUCUAGAUCAGGAGGUGAGGUCAUAGCACCUUUAAGGCUCAUUACACAUGGUACUCUAUGGAAAAAAUUGUCAACGCUGUGGAAGAGAACCUCUAUAUAGAGAGUAUCAUGGAUGUUUGGAAGAAUUACACCCUUGAAGAUGUCGUUAUUGUUAUAGAAAAAGCCAUGAAAGUCACCAAGCUUGAAGCAAUAAAUUUCUGCUACAGAAAAGAUGUUUUGCAAGACUUCACAAGAUUUAUGAUAGAGCCAAUCAAAGAAAUCAUGAAAGAGAUUGUGGAUGUGGCAGAAAAGGUUGGAAGGUAAAGGACUUCAAGAUAUGGAUCUUGGAGAAAUUCAAGAGAUAAUAAAAAUCACACCAGAGUAAUUAGUAGAAGCUGACUUGAUGGAGAUGAAAGUUUCCAAACCAGCGCCAGACAAUGAGGAAGAAGACAUAGAAGAAGCAGGGCAAUGGGGAAAGCAUUCCCUAUUUAACAAAUGGUGUUGGGAAAACUGGCAAGCCAUAUACAGAAAACUGAAACUGGACCUCUUCUUUACACCUUAUACAAAAAUUAACUCAAGGUGCAUUAAAGACUUAAAUAUAAGACUUUAAACCAUAAAAACCCUAGAAGAAAACCUGGACAGUACCAUUCAGGACAUAGGCAUAGGCAAAGACUUCAUGACUAAAACACCGAAAGCAAUGGAAACAAAAGUCAAAAUUGACAAAUGAGAUAUAAUUAAACUAAAGAGCUUCUGCACAGCAAAAGAAACUAUCAUCAGAGUGAACAGGCCACCUACAGAAUGGGAGAAAGAUUUUGCAAUCUAUCCAUCUGACAAAGGGCUAGUUUCCAGAAUCUACAAAGAAUGUAAACAAAUUUACAAGAAAAAAACAACCCCAUCAAAAAGUGAGCAAAGGAUAUGAACAGAUACUUCUCAAAAGAAGACAUUUAUGCAGCCAAGAAACAUAUGAAAAAAAGCUCAUUAUCACUGGUCAUUAGAGAAAUGCAAAUCAAAACCACAAUGAGAUACCAUCUCAUGCCAGUUAGAAUGACGAUCAUUAAAAAGUCAGGAAACAACAGAUGCUGGAGAGGAUGUGGAGAAAUAGGAACGCUUUUACACUGUUGGUGGAAGUGUAAAUUAGUUCAACUGUUGUGGAAGAUGGUGUGGCGAUUCCUCAAGGAUCUAGAACUAGAAAUACAAUUUGACCCAGCAAUCCCAUUACUGGGUAUAUACCCAAAGGAUUAUAAAUCAUUCUACUCUAAAGACACAUGCACUUGUAUGUUUACUGCAGCACUGUUCACAAUAGCAAAGACUUGCAACCAACCCAAAUGCCCAUCAAUGAUAGACUAGAUAAAGAAAAUGUGGCGCAUAUACACCGUGGAAUACUAUGUAGCCAUAAAAAAAGGAUGAGUUCAUGUCCUUUGCAGAGACAUGGAUGAAGCUGGAAACCAUCAAUCUCAGCAAACUAACACAGGAACAGAAAACCAAACACCACAUGUUCUCACUCACAAGUGGGAGUUGAACAAUAAGAAAACAUGGACACAGGGAGGGGAACAUCACACACUGAGGCCUGUCGGGGGGCGGGGGGCUAGGGGAGGGACAGCAUUAGAAGAAACACCUGGAUCGCUGGAGCCAAGAUUUGCUGGAGCCAAAUAGGAACAGCUCUGGUCUACAGCUCCCAUCAUGAGCGACGCAGAAGAUGGGUGAUUUCUGCAUUUCCAUCUGAGGUACUGAGUUCAUCUCACUAGGGAGUGCCAGACAGUGGGCACAGGACAGUGGGUGCAGUGCACCGUGUGCAAGCCGAAGCAGGGUGAGGCAUUGCCUCACUUGGGAAGCACAAGGGGUCAGGGAGUUCGUUCCCUUUCCUAGUUAAAGAAAGGGGUGACAGAGGCACCUGGAAAAUCGGGUCACUCCCACCCCAAUACUGUGCUUUUCGGACGUGCUUAAAAAACGGUGCACCAGGAGAUUAUAUCCUGCACCUGGCUCGGAGAGUCCUACGCCCAUGGAGCCUCGCUGAUUGCUAGCAUGGCAGUCUGAGAUCAAACUGCAAGGCGGCAGCAAGGCUGGGGGAGGUACGCCCGCCAUUGCCCAGGCUUGCUUAGGUAAACAAAGCAGCCAGGAAGCUCCAACUGGGUGGAGCCCAUCACAGCUCAAGGAAGCCUGCCUGCCUCUGUAGGCUCCACCUCUGGGAGCAGGGCACAAACAAAAAGACAGCAGUAACCUCUGCAGACUUAAAUGUCCCUGUCUGACAGCUUUGAAGAGAGCAGUGUUUCUCCCAGCAUGCAGCUGGAGAUCUGAGAAUGGGCAGACUGCCUCCUCAAGUGGGUCCCUGACCCCUGAGCCCCAAGCAGCCUAACUGGGAGGCACCCCCCAGUUGGGGCAGACUGACACCUCACACGGCCGGGUGCUCCUCUUAGACAAAACUUCCAGAGGAACGAUCAGACAGCAGCAUUAGCGGUUCACGAAAAUCCGCUGUUCUGCAGCCACCGCUGCUGGUACCCAGGCAAACAGGGUCUGGAGUGGACCUCUAGCAAACUCCAACAGACCUGCAGCUGAGGGUCCUGUCUGUUAGAAGGAAAACUAACAAACAGAAAGGACAUCCACACCAAAAACCCAUCUGUACAUCACCAUCAUCAAAGACCAAAAGUAGAUAAAACCAUAAAGAUGGGGAAAAAACAGAGCAGAAAAACUGGAAAUUCUAAAAAGCAGAGCACCUCUCCUCCUCCAAAGGAACGCAGCUCCUCACCAGCAAUGGAACAAAGCUGGACGGAGAAUGACUUUGACGAGUUGAGAGAAGAAGGCUUCAGACGAUCAAACUACUCCGAGCUACAGGAGGAAAUUCAAAUCAAAGGCAAAGAAGUUGAAAAAUUUGAAAAAAAUUUAGACGAAUGUAUAACUACAAUAACCAAUACAGAGAAGUGCUUAAAGGAGCUGAUGGAGCUGAAAGCCAAGGCUCGAGAACUACGUGAAAAAUGCAGAAGCCUCAGGAGCUGAUGCAAUCAACUGGAAGAAAGGGUAUCAGUGAUGGAAGAUGAAAUGAAUGAAAUGAAGCGAGAAGGGAAGUUUAGAGAAAAAAGAAUAAAAAGAAACGAACAAAGCCUCCAAGAAAUAUGUGACUAUGUGAAAAGACCAAAUCUAUGUCUGAUUGCUGUACCUGAAAGUGACGGAGAGAAUGGAACCAAGUUGGAAAACACUCUGCAGGAUAUUAUCCAGGAGAACUUCCCCAAUCUAGCAAGGCAGGCCAACAUUCAGAUUCAGGAAAUACAGAGAACGCCACAAAGAUACUCCUCGAGAAGAGCAACUCCAAGACACAUAAUUGUCAGAUUCACCAAAGUUGAAAUGAAGGAAAAAAUGUUAAGGGCAGCCAGAGAGAAAGGUCGGGUUACCCACAAAGGGAAGCCCAUCAGACUAACAGCGGAUCUCUCGGCAGAAACUCUAUAAGCCAGAAGAGAGUGGGGGCCAAUAUUCAACAUUCUAAAAGAAAAGAAUUCUCAACCCAGAAUUUCAUAUCCAGCCAAACUAAGCUUCAAGAGUGAAGGAGAAAUAAAAUACUCUACAGACAAGCAAAUGCUGAGAGAUUUUGUCACCACAAGGCCUGCCCUAAAAGACCUCCCAAAGGAAGCACUAAACAUGGAAAGGAACAACCGGUAGCAGCCACUGCAAAAUCAUGCCAAAUUGUAAAGACCAUCGAGGCUAGGAAGAAAAUGCAUCAACUACUGAGCAAAAUCACCAGCUAACAUCAUAAUGACAGGAUCAAAUUCACACAUAACAAUAUUAACUUUAAAUGUAAAUGGACUAAAUGCUCCAAUUAAAAGACACAGACUGGCAAAUUGGAUAAAGACACAAGACCCAUCAGUGUGCUGUAUUCAGGAAACCCAUUUCAUGUGCAGAGACACACAUAGGCUCAAAAUAAAAGGAUGGAGGAAGAUCUACCAAGCCAAUGGAAAACAAAAAAAGGCAGGGGUUGCAAUCCCAGUCUCUGAUAAAACAGACUUUAAACCAACAAAGAUCAAAAGAGACAAAGAAGACCAUUACAUAAUGGUAAAGGGAUCAAUUCAACAAGAAGAGCUAACUAUCCUAAAUAUAUAUGCACCCAAUACAGGAGCACCCAGAUUCAUAAAGCAAGUCCUGAGUGACCUACAAAGAGACUUAGACUCCCACACAAUAAUAAUGGGAGACUUUAACACCCCACUGUCAACAUUAGACAGAUCAACGAGACAGAAAGUUAACAAGGAUACCCAGGAAUUGAACUCAGCUAUGCACCAAGCGGACCUGAUAGACAUCUGCAGAACUCUCCACCCCAAAUCAACAGAAUAUACAUUUUUUUCAGCACCACACCACACCUAUUCCAAAAUUGACCACAUAGUUGGAAGUAAAGCUCUCCUCAGCAAAUGUAAAAGAUCAGAAAUUAUAACAACCUGUCUCUCAGACCACAGUGCAAUCAAACUAGAACUCAGCAUUAAGAAACUCACUCAAAACCACUCAACUACAUGGAAACUGAACAACCUGCUCCUGAAUGACUACUGGGUACAUAACGAAAUGAAGGCAGAAAUAAAGAUGUUCUUUGAAACCAACGAGAACAAAGACACAACAUACCAGAAUCUCUGGGACACAUUCAAAGCAGUGUGUAGAGGGAAAUUUAUAGCACUAAAUGCCCACAAGAGAAAGCAGGAAAGAUCCAAAAUUGACACCCUAACAUCUCAAUUAAAAGAAUUAGAAAAGCAAGAGCAAAUACAUUCAAAAGCUAGGAGAAGGCAAGAAAUAACUAAAAUCAGAGCAGAACUGAAGGAAAUAGAGACCAAAAAAACCCUUCAAAAAAUUAAUGAAUCCAGGAGCCGGUUUUUUGAAAGGAUCAACAAAAUUGAUAGACUGCUAGAAAGACUAAUAAAGAAGAAAAGAGAGAAGAAUCAAAUAGACACAAUAAAAAAUGAUAAAGGGGAUAUCACCACCAAUCCCACAGAAAUACAAACUACCAUCAGAGAAUACUACAAACACCUCUACGCAAAUAAACUAGAAAAUCUAGAAGAAAUGGAUAAAUUCCUCGACACAUACACCCUCCCAAGACUAAACCAGGAAGAAGUUGAGUCUCUGAAUAGACCAAUAACAGGCUCUGAAAUUGUGGCAAUAAUCAAUAGCUUACCAACCAAAAAGAGUCCAGGACCAGAUGGAUUCACAGCCGAAAUCUACAAGAGGUACAAGGAGGAACUGGUACCAUUCCUUCUGAAAGUAUUCCAAUCAAUAGAAAAAGAGGGAAUCCUCCCUAACUCAUUUUAUGAGGCCAGCAUUAUCCUGAUACCAAAGCUGCGCAGAGACACAACCAAAAAAGAGAAUUUUAGACCAAUAUCCUUGAUGAACAUUGAUGCAAAAAUCCUCAAUAAAAUACUGGCAAACCGAAUCCACCAGCACAUCAAAAAGCUUAUCCACCAUGAUCAAGUGGGCUUCAUCCCUGGGAUGCAAGGCUGGUUCAAUAUAUGCAAACCAAUAAAUGUAAUCCAGCAUAUAAACAGAACCAAACACAAAAACCACAUGAUUAUCUCAAUAGAUGCAGAAAAGGCCUUUGACAAAAUUCAACAACCCUUCAUGCUAAAAACUCUCAAUAAAUUAGGUAUUGAUGGGACAUAUCUCAAAAUAAGAGCUAUCUAUGACAAACCCACAGACAAUAUCAUACUGAAUGGGCAAAAACUGGAAGCAUUCCCUUUGAAAACUGGCACAAGACAGGGAUGCCCUCUCUCACCACUCCUAUUCAACAUAGUGUUGGAAGUUCUGGCCAGGGCAAUCAGGCAGGAGAAGGAAAUAAAGGGUAUUCAAUUAGGAAAAGAGGAAGUUAAAUUGUCCCUGUUUGCAGAUGACAUGAUUGUAUACCUAGAAAACCCCAUUGUCUCAGCCCAAAAUCUCCUUAAGCUGAUAAGCAACUUCAGCAAAGUCUCAGGAUAGAAAAUCAAUGUACAAAAAUCACAAGCAUUCUUAUACACCAAUAACAGACAAACAGAGAGCCAAAUCAUGAGUGAACUCCCUUUCACAAUUGCUUCAAAGAGGAAUAAAAUACCUAGGAAUCCAACUUACAAGGGAUGAGAAGGACCUCUUCAAGGAGAACUACAAACCACUGCUCAAGGAAAUAAAAGAGGAUACAAACAAAUGGAAGAACAUUCCAUGCUCAUGGAUAGGAAGAAUCAAUAUCGUGAAAAUGGCCAUACUGCCCAAGGUAAUUUAUAGAUUCAAUGCCAUCCCCAUCAAGCUCCCAAUGACUUUCUUCACAGAAUUGGAAAAAACUACUUUCAAGUUCAUAUGGAACCAAAAAGGAGCCCGCAUCGCCAAGUCAAUCCUAAGCCAAAAGAACAAAGCUGGAGGCAUCAUGCUACCUGACUUCAAACUAUACUACAAGGCUACAGUCACCAAAACAGCAUGGUACUGGUACCAAAACAGAGAUAUAGAUCAAUGGAACAGAACAGAGCCCUCAGAAAUAACGCCGCAUAUCUACAACUAUCUGAUCUUGGACAAACCUAACAAAAACAAGCAAUGGGGGAAGGAUUCCCUAUUUAAUAAAUGGUGCUGGGAAAACUGGCUAGCCAUAUGUAGAAAGCUGAAACUGGAUCCCUUCCUUACACCUUAUACAAAAAUUAAUUCAAGAUGGAUUAAAGACUUAAACGUUAGACCUAAAACCAUAAAAACCCUAGAAGAAAAUCUAGGCAUUACCAUUCAGGACAUAGUCAUGGGCAAGGACUUCAUGUCUAAAACACCAAAAGCAAUGGCAACAAAAGCCAAAAUUGACAAAUGGGAUCUAAUUAAACUAAAGAGCUUCUGCACAGCAAAAGAAACUACCAUCAGAGUGAACAGGCAACCUACAGAAUGGGAGAAAAUUUUCCCAACCUACUCAUCUGACAAAGGGCUAAUAUCCAGAAUCUACAAUGAACUCAAACAAAUAUACAAGAAAAAAAACAACCCCAUCAAAAAGUGGGCAAAGGACAUGAACAGACACUUCUCAAAAGAAGACAUUUAUGCAGCCAAAAGGCACAUGAAAAAAUGCUCACCAUCCCUGGUCAUCAGAGAAAUGCAAAUCAAAACCACAAUGAGAUACCAUCUCACACCAGUUAGAAUGGCAAUCAUUAAAAGUCAGGAAACAACAGGUGCUGGAGAGGAUGUGGAGAAACAGGAACACUUUUACACUGUUGGUGGGACUGUAAACUACUUCAACCAUUGUGGAAGUCAGUGUGGCGAUUCCUCAGGGAUCUAGAACUAGAAAUACCAUUUGACCCAGCCAUCCCAUUACUGGGUAUAUACCCAAAGGACUGUAAAUCAUGCUGCUAUAAAGACACAUGCACACGUAUGUUUAUUGUGGCACUAUUCACAAUAGCAAAGACUUGGAACCAACCCAAAUGUCCAACAAUGAUAGACUGGAUUAAGAAAAUGUGGCACGUAUACACCAUGGAAUACUAUGCAGCCAUAAAAAAUGAUGAUUUCAUGUCCUUUGUAGGGACAUGGAUGAAAUUGGAAAUCAUCCUUCUCAGUAAACUAUGGCAAGAACAAAAAACCAAACACCGCAUAUUCUCACUCAUAGGUGGGAAUUGAACAAUGAGAGCACAUGGACACAGGAAGGGGACCAUCACACUCUGGGGACUGUUGUGGGGUGGGGGGAGGGAGGAGGGAUAUCUUUAGGAGAUAUACCUAAUGCUAAAUGACGAAUUAAUGGGUGCAGCACACCAGCAUGGCACAUGUAUACAUAUGUAACUAACCUGCACAUUGUGCACAUGUACCCUAAAACUUAAAGUAUAAUAAUAAUAAAAUAAAAUAAAAUAAAAAAGAAGAAAUACCUAAUGUAGGUGACGGGUUGAUGGGUGCAGCAAACCACCAUGGCACGUGUAUAUCUGUGUAACAAACCUGCACAUUCUGCACAUGUAUCCCAGAACUUUAAUAAUAAUAAAAAAAGAAGACAAAGUAGUUCCAGAAAACAAAUUGACAUUAAAUAAUCUGACAGAGGGUUCUAAUUAUUCAAGACUGCUUUUGAUUUUUUUAAUGACUUGCACUCUUCUAUGAUACAGGCACUGGAACUAAAGCAAAAUGGUGGAAGAAGAUUAGUACUGUAUAGAAACAUUUUUAGAGAAAUGAAAGUGCAAAAAUGUCAGACAGAAGCUUCUGUGUAUUUUCACAAAGUUACACCAUGUGCCUGCCUCUCCUGCCUCUCCUGCCUCCCCUUCCACCUCCUCCACCUCUUCCAUCUCUGGCACCCCUGAGUCAGCCAGACCAACUUCUCCUCUUCCUCCUCCUCCUCAGCCUACUUAACAUGAAGAUAAUGAGGAUUAAGACCUUUUUGAUAACCCACUUCCACUCAAUUAAUAGUAAAUAUACUUUCUCUUCCUUAUGAUUUUCUUAAUUGCAUUUUCUUUUUGCUAGCUUCAGUUAUAAGAAGACAGUAUGUAAUACAUAUACAAAAUGUGUGUUAAUCUAUUAUUUAUGUUAUCAGUAAAGCUUCCAGAGUCAGCAGAAGGCUAUUAGUUUUUUAUCCAUUUUAGGUAUUAGUUAUUUUUUGUUAAUUGACAAAUAAGUAUUACAUACAAUUGACCCUUGAACAACACAGGGUCCAACACAGGGGUUAGGGGGACCAAUCCUCCAUGCAUUCAAAACUGCAUACACAGAGUGUGUUGUUCAAGGGUCAAUUGUAUGUAAUUUUUAUUUGUCAAUUAACAAAAAAAAUUAGAAAAAACUAUACCAUGCUUUACUGUACACUUAAAAAUUUGUUGAGACUAGAUCUCAUGUUAAGUGUUCUUACCACAAUAAAAUAAAUUUUUCAAAAAGAUUUUAGAAAACUUAGGAAUAAUUAUUAGAUUUUAAUUUAUUAAAGGAUAUUCUAUAUUUUCCAGGAGAUACUGUAUUUUCUCAUAUGCUACUUCCUCUACAAAGGAAGAUGGGAAUAAUUUACAUUUAAAUGUUAAAACUUUGUUUUUAAUGAAACUAGCAUGAGGUAUCCUCAAAAAGGGGAGUAGAAUCUCUACAACAGAUAGCAUAAUUAUUAUAGGGUAUUUAUUCAAUCAUAAUAAUUCAUAACACAAAUAGAAUAAAAUGAUAAUAUUGAUGUAAAAAAAAAAGCAGGGAGAAACAAAAAAAGAGAUAGACCCAGCAGAAUGUGAAUGGAAUCAUAAUGAUUACCAGUUUAUAUGUACAUAAUAUGUAUUUGAGAAGAAUGUGUAAACCACUGUCUCAUAUGAUUGGCAUUUCUAUAAAUUUAACAAAUUUCUUAACUAUGAUAAUUAUUUAUUGUUGCUACAGUACCACAUGCACAUCUCUGUGCCACUUCAUUUUAAGAUAAGUCUGUAAUUCACAGUGAACUGGUUCUUGGGCAUCAAUUUAUGACAAAUUCAUUUUCAUUUGUCAGAUAGCUUUAGGAUAACAUUAUUUUAAUGCAUGUAUGUAUUGUUUCAUCUCCAAGUCUUGUUGCCAUUUUUAAGGGCUGUCAGCUGUAUUACAUAAUUUGAUAUGGAAAAUAUUUUGGGUCAAUCAGUCUUUUUUAUGAGUCUUCUGUAUGGACUUUUUUUUCUAUUUAAGGAAAGACAUGUACAUUCUGAAACUGGACAUAUAUUAUUAAUCUACUACUACAUAUACUAAUCUAAUCUGGUGACUACUGAGUAUUUUAAUAAUAACCAUGUAACUUGGAACUUUUAUCCUUCAGAAUUAUGAAAGUAAGCAUAUAUUUUAUAGUAUUUAGGGUAGAGUGUAAAGAAGUAUCUAGCAUAGUAGUUAAGUUAAAAUCAAUCCAUCUUUCUAUGUGCCUAUCUACAUAGCUGCACUUUUAUCUGUCUGUUAAAGUCUGUUCUUUAUAUACCAUUGGAAACAUUCGAGGGUCAUUAAAAUAGGACCCCAUUUUCUUGUUCACUGAAUAAGAUUUACUUCAUAUUUAUGGGCAUUUUUCUUAAAACCUCUUGACAAUAGUUAGGGAUGCAAAGAAACAUGGUAAAUUAUAUCCUUGAAGUUCUUAUUUUGUUGGUUAUUUGCCAGAUACUUUUAAUUUUAUCAUUUGCCUUUAGAAUACAGUUUUUUAUUUACAUCCCAAUGUUUCUUUACAGAUUACUGAACUAUGAAAAACAAUAUUUAUAUUUCCAGAAAAGUAACAGUUUUAUUAAUGAAUGUAAAUAGACAUCUUGUGAUUUAUGUUAUUAAGGCACAAUAGUAAAUAUUUUAUAAAAUAUUUGUAGGCUGUAUUUGAGAUAAAUUCAGGGGAAAAUAUGUUAUUUCAGAAUGCUCUGAUGCUCUGCCUCUGAGAUAUAGAACAAUGCAGUGGUGUGUUUGGGAUAACUUAUGCAAUAUUAAAGGCUAUCUUUUCUGUAGAAUUAUUUUUGGUCAGUUCCUAUAAACAAUCUUUUUUCUUCCUUAAAUUGCACAAGUAACUAAUAUUAGCAUGACAUUUUAAACCUAGCAAUUAUGUUUUUCUAAUGAGAUUUAUGUGUAGAUCAAAAAUAGAUGGCCUCUGAUCUUCAUGGCCAUAGAGAAAAUAAAUAUGUUUCUUGUGAACACCCUGGAAUUUUCCCAGUUUUAUGGAUCACAUUAAUUUAAAAAUCUAUCAUAGAUCUUAGUGUCCGAGAAAUACACAGAAACUAUACCCGUUAUUACAAGAACAAAACAAUUCAAACUUGGCCUUGUGAAACUAAAAUAAAUCUAAACUUGAGACUUUUAUGUAGAGUGCAGACAAAAAGCAUUGGCAUUUCCAGGAAUAAAUCUAGAUUUUAUUCCCUCUAAAGAUUAUACCAUUUGGGAAAAAGUGUUUGAGAAAAAAAAUAUGAAUGUUGUCUUACCUUUCAAAUUUUAUUAAGCUUAUGACCAUGUGAACACAUCUCUAGGUCCUCCCAGGUCCUUGGAAGUGACCUAUAAAAGUGCAGGGCUCUGGAGAUUAAGCUGCAUUUCAUAGUAAACUCACAAUCGCAUAUUCAGUAAUCUCUCCUUAUCUGUGGGAGAUAUGUUCUAAGACCCUCAGUGAUGACCUGAAAUCACAGAUAGUACUCAACACUAUAUGCCCUUAAAAUAGGCACAAGAAGAGAUUAACAACAAUUCAUAAAAAAGAACAAUAAUAUACUUUAGUAAAAGUUAUGUGAAUGUGGUCUCUUAUUCUCAAAAGAUCUUACUGUACUAUACUUGCCUUUUUUCUUCUUGCAAUCUGUUAACCUGAUAACCAAGAGGGCUGCUAAGUAACUAAUGGGCAGGUAAUCUAUACAGCGUGAAUACACAGGGCAAAGGAAGGAUUCACAUCCCAAGCAGGUUGAAGCAGGACAACACGAGAUUUUAUCAUGCUACUCAGAACAGUGCACAAUUUAAAACUUAUGAAUUAUUUAUUUCUGGAAUUUUCCAUUUAACAUUUUUGGACCUUUGUUGACCACAGGUAACUGAAACGCUGAAAGUGAAACCUUGGGUAAGGGGGACUACUGAAAUAAAAAGGCAUGAAGCAAGGAGCAGAUUGGUUAAUCGUUUCAUUGUUGUUAGUGAAAUAUAUCGUAACAUUGUGCAUGGAUUCUUCUGUUAAAUAUUAAACCACGUGUAUUUUUUAAACAACUAGUCUUCAAAUACUUUAAAUAUUAAAAAAAAUCACGUCUUGACAAUAUGAUAUUUAAUUGAAGAAGUUACUGCAAAAUGUACUUGUGUUUACAGGUAGAAUAUUUUAAAGCUUUUUGAUCUUCACAUCCUUGAGGAUUCAGUGCAGCUUUACUCAAUCAGGAUCAUUCCUAGGUACAUGAAACUAUGUAUUGUUAAAUACCUGGUUGAUAAGAUUUAGAUUUCUUUUUUCAUCUUCUGUUUUAGAAGCAUUUAUGUUCGCUUAAAGUCUGAUGGUUAGGUUUCUAACUUUUCCAAUAUUUGGAUUGGUAAAUGUACUACUUAAGUUACAUAAAUGCUUUAUUAUUGGUAAUGGCAUAUAUAAAAUCUCAAUGCAUUUAUAUGACUCUCUAGUAAUUGGUUAUACAAAGAGUACAGAAAACAGUGAUUUACCAUAGACUAUUGCUUACAUCUGAAUCUAUUUGUUCAACUCUUUUAUUACCAUUGCCUUGUUUGGCUCAUAUAAAUUUUAUUUAAUUUUUCUUUCUAACUAAUCACAAUGAUACCAAAUUGUAGUAUAUAGUUUUAUUUGUAGCACAGAUUGCUCUCUAAAAAUAUGUACCAUGAGUACAUGUGUAAAUCAAUGAACAUCAACUUAAACAGUAGCUAUUUCAUGUGAACUACACACAUUCUUGUCAAGAAACAGAAGUAAAUGGCUGAGGCCCAGGCAUAAUUCCUUGGAAAUGACAAUGCCAAAAUGCCCAAGGAAACUCUUGGCAGGGCUACUCAUUUGUUUUCACAUAUUUAUCUAUUUGUUCCCUUGGUUUCAAGGCUCUAAACAGAAAUUCAGAGCAUUUUCAUGGUAUCUGGGCAUCAUUACAAUAUUUACUAAAAGAGAAGUCCUAAACAUGGCCAUUUUAUGGGACAAAUCAGUAGCACAUGGUGUUUAUACAAUGUUAUAUAUGAUUUUACUCAUUAUGCCAACUGUAUUAAGGGGAUUCCAUCUUUCUUUGGGCCCUCAUCAGGCUACCACGAUAUACAGUGAGUGGUAUACUUAAGCUCUGGCUGAAUUGUUCUGUAACGUAAUCUGACUCAAGGAGAACAAAUGGAGAGGGUCUUUGUCAUUCUACUGUGUCAUGUGAAUUUUCUCUGUUUCUGGAGUCUGAGUUGUUCUGUUUUACACCUGCUAUUUGAGAAACUUUUUACAAUUUUCGUGUCAUAAGCCAGAAUGCAAUGGGAUGAAUAUGGAGCCUUUCUUUUUAUACACUCCCUUGAAACUCUUCAUGAAAAGCUUUCUUAUUGAAUUGUUUCAUUCUAGCUUGAAUAUCCAAAUGGAAUGUGUUAAGAUAAAUUCAUAAGUACGUUUCUAUUAUUAUACUAUUUAUAUAGUUAUGACACAUUGUGAAUUGAACGAAAGGUCUUAUAAAAUUCUGAAAAGCUGUGCUGUUGCUUAUGUAUUAUGUAUUUAUAUCUCUAAAAUUAUCCACUGACUGCAAAUUGUCCAUAAGGGACAUAUUCAAUGUAAAACAAUCAUUCCCAGAACUAAAAAAGGUCUAAAAAUUUCUUUUGAAUUUUCUUUCUACUACAAAUUUUUGCAUAAGAACAGAAACAGUAACUUCUUUCUAAAACAACAGUGGAAUCUCAAUAUCAAAAUUAGUCUGGUUAAGUACAGCAUGACUGUAGGCCUAGCUGCUUGGGAGGCUGAGGUGGGAGGAUCACUUUAGGCUCAGAGUUUGAGGCUGCAGUGUACUAUAAUAGUGCCUAGGAAUAGUCACUGUACUUGAAGCUGGGCAGCAUAAUGAGACCACAUCUUUCUCAAAAAAAAAAAUCUGAUGCUCAGUAUCAAUCAUUUAAAAAUAAAUGAAUGAAUGAUCAUGGGACAGAAAAAUGAUAAAUUCUGUAUUCAAUCUAUAUUUGAACUGAUAUUUUUGUUACAUCUCUGCAAAUUAUUUUCAUGGGUUUAAGUAUUUUUAAUUCAUUUUAUUUUUAUUUGCAAAAACAUUGUACAUACAUCUGAUUUUUAAAAAUUUUCUGGGAUCAUAAGACUACAUGGUUAAAAUAUUCUAUUAUAAUACUUUUAUAGCAGAUUCAAUCAAAAUAAGAUAAUUACUGAAUAAAAUGUAAACAUUGACUAGAAAUGUCCCUUUUAAUGAAAUCAAUAGGCAUCCUGUAUAUCUAUAGAUGAAUAAUUUUUAGUGCUAGUUAAGCAGAUACAGGUUUUUGUCUCAAUUAUAUUUCUUUCUUGGUUUUUCUUGGUUUUUAAUUGAGGUACGUGCUGAGUAACUUGUUCACAUAAUAAAGUAGAUGACGGUGGAAAGUAUUUUAUUUUCAGUAUUAGUCAAUUAUUUGAACUUGCCAAAAAUCACAUAAUGAUUUAUUAUCAAAAAUUAUUUGUAAUGAUCUGUGGACUGACAAUUCACUUGAAUCUUCCCUCAAUAUUGUGAAAAGCAGAAAAUUGGAAACCAUCUGAUUAACAAAAAGAUUAUUUCUAGUCAAUAAACUUAGCAUUUCUGAGAAGUGUAUCAAAAACAUUUACCAAAACUUAAAAAAUGAAAAUAACUAUACUGCCUUUUUAUCAUUUAGAGGCAAAAAAUCGAAAAAUUAAAAUACAGGUAUACUUCUACUUAUUGCAUUUCACUUUAUUGCACUUUGCAAAUGCUGCAUUAAUUACAAAUUGAAGGUUUGUGGCAACCCUGCCUUCAGAAACUCUGUUGGCACCAUUUUUCAUGACAGCAUGUGCUGACUUUGUGUCUUGUGUCACAUUUUGGUAAUUCCCACAGUAUUUCAAACUCUUAUUGUUAUUAUAUCUGUUAUGGUUAUCUUUGAUGUUGCUAUUGUAAUUGUUUUUGGGUGCCAUGAACUGUGCUCAUAUAAGAGGGUAAGUUUCAUGUUGUGUGCAUUCUCACUGCUCCAUAGACCAGCUGUUCUGCUAUCUCUCCCCCUCUCCUAGGGCCUCUCUACUGUCUGAGAUACAAUAGUAUUGUAAUUAGGCCACUUAAUAAACCUACAGUGGCUUCUAAGUGUUCAAGUGAAAGGAAGAGUUGCAAGUCUCUCAUUUGAAAUCAAAAGCUAGAAAUGAUUCACCUUAAUGAGAAAGGUGCUGAAAGCACAGGCAGGCUGAAAGCUAGGUGUCUAGCACUAAGGUUAGCCAAGUUGUGAAUGCAAAGGAAAAGUGAAGAAAGUUUUAGAAGUUUGGAUACAAGAUCAAACCACCCACAACAUUCCCUAAGCCAGAGCCUAAUCCAGAGCAGGGCCCUAACUGUCUUCAAUUCUACUGAAGGUAAGGAAUCUGCAGAAGAGAAGUUUGAAGCUAGUACAUUUUUUUUUGUUUUUGUUUUUUAUUAUUAUUAUACUUUAAGUUUUAGGGUACAUGUGCACAACGUGCAGGUUUGUUACAUAUGUAUACGUGUGCCAUGUUGGUGUGCUGCACCCAUUAACUCGUCAUUUAGCAUUAGGUAUAUCUCCUAAUGCUAUCCCUUCCCCCUCCCCCUCCACCACAACAGUCCCCGGUGUGUGAUGUUCCCCUUCCUGUGUCCCUGUGUUCUCAUUGUUCAGUUCCCACCUAUGAGUGAGAACACGUGGUGUUUGGUUUUUUGUCCUUGUGAUAGUUUGCUGAGAACGAUGGUUUCCAGCUUCAUCCAUGUCCCUACAAAAGACAUGAACUCAUCAUUUUUUAUGGCUGCAUAAUAUUCCAUGGUGUAUAUGUGCCCCAUUUUCUUAAUCCAGUCUAUCAUUGUUGGACAUUUAGGUUGGUUCCAAGUCUUUGCUAUUGUGAAUAGUGCCGCAAUAAACACAAUACGUGUGCAUGUGUCUUUAUAGCAGCAUGAUUUAUAAUCCUUUGGGUAUAUACCCAGUAAUGGGAUUGCUGGGUCAAAUGGUAUUUCUAGUUCUAGAUCCCUGAGGAAUUGCCACACUGUCUUCCACAAUGGUUGAACUAGUUUACAGUCCCACCAACAGUGUAAAAGUGUUCCUGUUUCUCCACAUCCUCUCCAGCACCUGUUGUUUCCUGACUUUUAAUGAUUGCCAUUCUAACUGGUGUGAGAUGGUAUCUCAUUGUGGUUUUGAUUUGCAUUUCUCUGAUGACCAGGGAUGGUGAGCAUUUUUUCAUGUGUUUUUUGGCUACAUAAAUGUCUUCUUUUGAGAAGUGUCUGUUCAUAUCCUUCGCCCACUUUUUGAUGGGGUUGUUUGUUUUUUUCUUGUAAAUUUGUUUGAGUUCAUUGUAGAUUCUGGAUAUUAGCCCUUUGUCAGAUGAGUAGGUUGCAAAAAUUUUCUCCCAUUCUGUAGGUUGCCUGUUCACUCUGAUGGUAGUUUUUUUUGCUGUGCAGAAGCUCUUUAGUUUAAUUAGAUCCCAUUUGUCAAUUUUGGCUUUUGUUGCCAUUGCUUUUGGUGUUUUAGACAUGAAGUCCUUGCCCAUGCCUAUGUCCUGAAUGGUAUUGACUAGGUUUUCUUCUAGGGUUUUUAUGGUUUUAGGUCUAACAUGUAAGUCUUUAAUCCAUCUUGAAUUAAUUUUUGUAUAAGGUGUAAGGAAGGGAUCCAGUUUCAGCUUUUUACAUAUGGCUAGCCAGUUUUCCCAGCACCAUUUAUUAAAUAGGGAAUCCUUUCCCCAUUUCUUGAUUUUGUCAGUUUUGUCAAAGAUCAGAUAGUUGUAGAUAAGUGGCAUUAUUUCUGAGGGCUCUGUUCUGUUCCGUUGUUCUAUAUCUCUGUUUUGGUACCAGUAUCAUGCUGUUUUGGUUACUGCAGCCUUGUAGUAUAGUUUGAAGUCAGGUAGCGUGAUGCCUCCAGCUUUGUUCUUUUGACUUAAGAUUGACUUGGCAAUGCGGGCUCUUUUUUGGUUCCAUAUGAACUUUAAAGUAGUGUUUUCCAAUUCUGUGAAGAAUGUCAUUGGUAGCUUGAUGGGGAUGGCAUUGAAUCUAUAAAUUACCUUGGGCAGUAUGGCCAUUUUCACGAUAUUGAUUCUUCCUACCCAUGAGCAUGGAAUGUUCUUCCAUUUGUUUGUAUCCUCUUUUAUUUCCUUGAGCAGUGGUUUGUAGUUCUCCUUGAAGAGGUCCUUCUCAUCCCUUGUAAGUUGGAUUCCUAGGUAUUUUAUUCUCUUUGAAGCAAUUGUGAAUGGGAGUUCACUCAUGAUUUAGCUCUCUGUUUGUUAUUGGUGUAUAGGAAUGCUUGUGAUUUUUGCACAUUGAUUUUGUAUCCUGAGACUUUGCUGAAGUUGCUUAUCAGCUUAAGGAGAUUUUGGGCUGAGACAUUGGGGUUUUCUAGAUAUACAAUCAUGUCAUCUGCAAACAGGGACAAUUUGACAUCCUCUUUUCCUAAUUGAAUGCCCUUUAUUUCCUUCUCCUGCCUGAUUGCCCUGGCCAGAACUUCCAACACUAUGUUGAAUAGGAGUGGUGAGAGAGGGCAUCCCUGUCUUGUGCCAGUUUUCAAAGGGAAUGCUUCCAGUUUUUGCCCAUUCAGUAUGAUAUUGGCUGUGGGUUUGUCAUAGAUAGCUCUUAUUUUGAGAUAUGUCCCAUCAAUACCUAAUUUAUUGAGAGUUUUUAGCAUGAAGGGUUGUUGAAUUUUGUCAAAGGCAUUUUCUGCAUCUAUUGAGAUAAUCAUGUAGUUUUUGUGUUUGGUUCUGUUUAUAUGCUGGAUUAUGUUUAUUGGUUUUUGUAUGUUGAACCAGCCUUGCAUCCCAGGGAUGAAGCCCACUUGAUCAUGGUGGAUAAGCUUUUUGAUGUGCUGCUGGAUUCGUUUUGCCAGUAUUUUAUUGAGGAUUUUUGCAUCAAUGUUCAUCAAGGAUAUUGGUCUAAAAUUCUCUUUUUUGGUUGUGUCUCUGCCAGGCUUUGGUAUCAGGAUAAUGCUGGCCUCAUAAAAUGAGUUAGGGAGGAUUCCCUCUUUUUCUAUUGAUUGGAACAGCUUCAGAAGGAAUGGUACCAGUUCCUCCUUGUACCUCUGGUAGAAUUCGGCGGUGAAUCCAUCUGGUCCUGGGCUUUUUUUGGUUGCUUACAGCUGCCGUACAUAAUGAUUCCUCUGAUGAAUCUGGGAAAAGGAGAUGGAAAAUCUUCUGGAAAGGAUUUGCUAUUCUAGAUAACAUCACGAUCAUUCACUGUUAUGGGAGGAGGUCAAAAUACCAACAUUAACAGAAGUUUGGAAGAAGUUUAUUUCAAUCCUCAUGGGUGACUUUAAGAGGCUCAGGACUUCAGUGAAGUCCUGUAAGUAGUGUUUUGGUGAAUAAAUACGGCAGCCGGCCGGUGGUGAUAGCAGGAGGCUUAUUAUGCUGUCUUGGAAUGGUG